ensembl:lncRNA
CAUGCUCCCAAAAGAAUUGUUCCUCAGUAAAUCAUUGCUCCAAGUUUAUUUUUCAUAAUGUGAUUGUCACAUUAACUAUCUAUUGUUUCUGUAGGCUUUCCGACUAUUUUUGGUCUGUUGAUAUCAAAUUGAUGGUGGCGAUUCGAGUUGAGUUCUGUUUAACGUGUCAUGCAAUGUGGGGCGGCGGAGCUCAACGACCGCGUCCCUCCGUAUGUUUCUCGCAUAACCCUGCAGGCUGCAAUAAGAAUUGCAAUCCGCGCUAUAAGACGCCCAUAUGGUCGUAAAGUAGUCUGCCCCAUGGUCAUAUUCUAGGACUGUUGUUGUCGAAUUACUCCGCCUGUAUCUUUCGGCAUUGAAGCCUAUUUUUUAUUUAUUUCAGCAGGUAUGAAAAUUGUAGGCUACCUGAGGCGGGCAGGCAGGAUUAUGGCCGACCCCUCCCAUCCUGGUCACAGUUUAUUUGGAACUCUCCCCUCUGGCAGGAUGCUGCGGUCCAUUAGGACCAAAACCUCCCGCCACUUGAACAGUUUCUUCCCCUCUUCAGUUGGGAUCCUUAACAGGUCCCAGGACCACCACCCCCACUGACUGACACUGACUCUGGCACUCAUACCCAUUAACAAUUUGUAAAUUCUUACACAUUUUUAAGUAUCUUUUACUUUAGUUUUUAAUUUAUUCUAUUUUAUCCUAUUUUAAUUGAUCUCUUAUGUCCCUGCUUGUUUAUAUGGCUCUUCUUCAUUGUUCAUUGUUAUUGUCUUAAUGUAUGCACCUUAAUCACCAAGCCAAAUUCCUGGUUGGUGUAAAACCCUUCUUGGCAAUUAAAUCCUUUCUGAUUCUGAUUCUGAUUCAUACCUGAUUUAAACAGCUGUUAUUGAGAAAUACCUGUUUUCAAAAGUGUUGUUACUGAGAGAUUUGCAAACAUCGUCGGGCCAAGUUCCAAAUCGAAGGUCUGCUUGAUUAAUGAUGACUUGUAUUUCUACUUUUCAUGUAUUUGAAAUGCACUCGCUAAGCCUGUUGUUAAAUUGUUGGUAGAUUGUUAAAAUAAAAUAUG